GAAAAAUAAAACCUGUAAAUAAUUUCUGUCUGUAUUUAUUUGUUCAAGUGCCAGUGAAACGAACGAUAGAAAAGAAGAAGCAUUCAAACUGUUUGCAAAACUUUUGGUUUGGAUACAAAAGACCAAGUAAAAAUGAUACUGGAAAGACUGUUUACCGUUGGACUCCUGUCCCAAUCUAACCUAGUGGGUUCAAAAAGAAAGAACCACGCUGGAAACAUGAGGGGGUUAAAAGGAUCAGCCCUUUUUGAAUUAUUAGUCGAAGUUGUAACCAACUUGUACGAAUGAAGUUUACGACUUGAUAUAGUUAAUUUUAUUCAACAACGCCAAGAAACAGAGCUCGUUCAAGAAACAGAAGAGAAAAAGAAAGAUGAAAAAAUAUUCUGUUGACCAAUACUGU